rnacentral:rRNA from 1 species
AUGAGGGGGACCCAGGCAAGGACGGCGAGGCUCGGGACCUCCUGGACGACUUGCUCUCGAUCGAAGGAGGGUGACCAGGGGUUUAAACUGGACAGGGUUGAUGUCAAGGGAGUCAUCUUGGACAUGUUCAUAGCAGGCACCUACAAGACGAUAGAAUGGACCAUGGCCGAGCUCGUUAAGAAUCCAAGAGAAAUGGCAAAGGUGCAAUCACAGGUGAGACAGGUUGCAGGUGACCAUGGAGGAGGCGGAGCUGGACAAGAUGAACCUCCUGCAGGCGGCCAUGAAAGAAACAUUGCGGCUACACCCGGUGGUGCAGCUCCUCAUCCCACGCGAGUCAAUUCAGGAUGCGCAGCUGCAGGGUUACGACAUCCCGGCAAAGACCCGGGUCAUGGUCAACACGUGGGCCAUCGGGCCAGAAAGGUUCCUCGGCAGGACCAUCGACUACAAUGGCAAGGACCCUCGGUUUCAACCGUUCGGCGCAGGGAGGAGGCCAGGAGGGGGUGCCCCGGUAUGGCCUUUGGGACGCGCCUCGCAGAGCUCACGUUGGCCAACAUGAUGUACCAUUUUGACUGGGAGCUGCCGGGUGGCCAGGAUCCGGACUCGUUUGAGGUUGUUGAGGCUAGCGGGUUGCCGCUAGGCCUUAAUUCUGCCUUGAUCCUUGCAGUAAAACCUCUGUAA